CCAAUAGCGUAUAUUAAAGUUGUUGCAGUUAAAAAGCUCGUAGUUGAAUUUCGGGAUCAAUACGUCGGUCGUGCUUCGGUACGUACUAACGUUAUUGAUUUCUCCCUUCUGACGAAUCGUGAUGUCAUUAAUUUGGUGUUACGGGGAGUUAGGACUGUUACUUUGAAAAAAUUAGAGUGUUUAAAGCAAGCAAUCGCUCGAAUACAUUAGCAUGGAAUAAUGAAAUAGGACGUUCGAACCUAUUUUGUUGGUUUCUAGGAUCGACGUAAUGAUUAAUAGGGAUAGUUGGGGGCAUUAGUAUUCAAUUGUCAGAGGUGAAAUUCUUGGAUUUAGUGAAGACUAACUACUGCGAAAGCAUUUGCCAAGGAUGUUUUCAUUAAUCAAGAACGAAGGUGAGGGGAUCGAAGACGAUCAGAUACCGUCGUAGUCUUAACCAUAAACUAUGCCGACUAGGGAUCGGAUGAUGUUAAUUUUAUAAUGACUCAUUCGGCGCCUUACG
rnacentral:rRNA from 1 species